rnacentral:rRNA from 1 species
UACGCAGGGGGCUAGCGUUGUUCGGAAUUACUGGGCGUAAAGCGCACGUAGGCGGCUACUUAAGUCAGGGGUGAAAUCCCGGGGCUCAACCCCGGAACUGCCUUUGAUACUGGGUAUCUCGAGUCCGAGAGAGGUGAGUGGAAUUCCGAGUGUAGAGGUGAAAUUCGUAGAUAUUCGGAGGAACACCAGUGGCGAAGGCGGCUCACUGGCUCGGUACUGACGCUGAGGUGCGAAAGCGUGGGGAGCAAACAGG